AACGAACGCUGGCGGCAUGCCUAACACAUGCAAGUCGAACGAGACCUUCGGGUCUAGUGGCGCACGGGUGCGUAACGCGUGGGAACCUGCCCUUAGGUUCGGAAUAACUCCCCGAAAGGGGUGCUAAUACCGGAUAAUGUCUUCGGACCAAAGAUUUAUCGCCUUUGGAUGGGCCCGCGUUGGAUUAGCUAGUUGGUAGGGUAAAAGCCUACCAAGGCGACGAUCCAUAGCUGGUCUGAGAGGAUGAUCAGCGACACUGGGACUGAGACGCGGCCCAGACUCCUACGGGAGGCAGCAGUGGGGAAUAUUGGACAAUGGGCGAAGGCCUGAUCCAGCAAUGCCGGGUGAGUGAUGAAGGCCUUAGGGUUGUAAAGCUCUUUUACCCGGGAUGAUAAUGACAGUACCGGGAGAAUAAGCUCCGGCUAACUCCGUG
rnacentral:rRNA from 1 species